AUUGAACGCUGGCGGCAGGCCUAACACAUGCAAGUCGAACGGUAACAGGAAGCAGCUUGCUGCUUUGCUGACGAGUGGCGGACGGGUGAGUAAUGUCUGGGAAACUGCCUGAUGGAGGGGGAUAACUACUGGAAACGGUAGCUAAUACCGCAUAAUGUCGCAAGACCAAAGAGGGGGACCUUCGGGCCUCUUGCCAUCGGAUGUGCCCAGAUGGGAUUAGCUAGUAGGUGGGGUAAAGGCUCACCUAGGCGACGAUCCCUAGCUGGUCUGAGAGGAUGACCAGCCACACUGGAACUGAGACACGGUCCAGACUCCUACGGGAGGCAGCAGUGGGGAAUAUUGCGCAAUGGGCGCAAGCCUGAUGCAGCCAUGCCGCGUGUAUGAAGAAGGCCUUCGGGUUGUAAAGUACUUUCAGCGGGGAGGAAGGGAGUAAAGUUAAUACCUGUGCUCAUUGACGUUACCCGCAGAAGAAGCACCGGCUAACUCCGUG
rnacentral:rRNA from 1 species